CCAUCAGGACAGUGAGGAACAGGGGAAGCCCCCUCCAUAUGUCAAUCCUGUAGACAUCAUGGUCAAUAAUGACCAAGGCAUAUAUGGGGUUAACAGUGCCAACACUUGAAUGAUCUCGGUCUCAGCAGGAUCUUGGCUGUGACUGACAGCCGGCUCACACCACCAAUUUCCUGCAUAUAGAUUCUGUGGAGAGAAAUGGCCGGGAGAAGUCUUCAUGAUGCCCUGGGUGGAUAAUGUGAUAAUGUGCGCCCUUUUUUCACGUAGUGAAGACGUUAACUCAGUUGUCCUUUGACAAAACACCUAGAAGAACCCAUCCAGGGAAGUCUUCCUGACAUGGCCAACAAAGAGAUAGGUGGCAGCUGUCUCAUCUCUAUCGAAAAUGAAGUUCUUUCUCUUUGAGACUGGAAUCUUGCAGAAUGUUAUCCUCACAGUGUGGACAGAAACAGAAACAAGAACAGUGACUUAAUUGUAGAUAAGAUUGUACUAAGGUAUAUGACAUGU